rnacentral:lncRNA from 1 species
CAUUUAUGCUUCAUUAACACAAAGUGCAGUCUAGCUUACAAAACAGGAAAAUCAUUCACUGAAGAAUUUGCAUAUGGAAUACAGAUACAUUGCAUGGAAAGAAAGCCGACCUGGAGACUGACAGGCAGCUGUGGUGUGAAUGCCUCAUGAUGGUGAAAGUCAGGAUGGUGGAUGGAUGCUGCAUUGCUUUGUUGAUGCAGUUAUGAACAUUAUUGGGCAAUAUGCAUAUGCAAGUGUGGACCACAUUCAGCACAUUUACCUUGUGUAACCUACACAGGUUCAGUAAAGAGAUUUGUGAGACCGUGAUAUUCCCCCAUGGUAGACCCAAAUGCUCGCUUUCAGCUCAGUUUUAUCACAGAGACUGAAGGAAUAAUAUCUUUAGCUUUUAAUAGCAGGACACAUUUAGGAAAUUAUACAUGAGUUGAAGAUAGAGAAAUUCUGGAACAGGAGAGGUCAUCAGUGCAUUUCUGCAAGUAGAAGCUUGUUUAGUCAGAUAAUGUGGUCUCAACAGAUUAAAACAUCACUUGUGAUUAAAUUGAUUGGUAUAAAACUAUAAGUGAACCAUUCUGUUCGUUCCAUGUAUUAGAUGGGAACAGCCAAAUUAAUUUGAAAUCAAGAAAUUAUUAAAAUAAAAUUCUCACUGAAGGUCCAACUUCUGCCAGCCCGUUUCUGGAGCCCUAUGCACAGUAUCUCUUUCAGGUGCUUACUGGGAAUUGAAUGACCUUUGAAGAGUAUUCAG